GCCUGGGUGGCUCAGUUGGUUGAGCAUCCGACUUCGGCUCAGGCCAUGAUCUCACGGUUCGUGGGUUUGAGCCCCACGUCAGGCU
rnacentral:tRNA from 1 species